CACGUAGGGGGCGAGCGUUGUCCGGAUUCAUUGGGCGUAAAGAGCUCGUAGGCGGCUCAGUAAGUCGGGUGUGAAACCCUCAGGCUCAACCUGGGGACGCCACCCGAUACUGCUAUAGCUAGAGUCCAGUAGGGGAGUGUGGAAUUCCCAGUGUAGCGGUGAAAUGCGCAGAUAUUGGGAGGAACACCAGCGGCGAAGGCGGCACUCUGGGCUGGUACUGACGCUGAGGAGCGAAAGCAUGGGGAGCGAACAGG
rnacentral:rRNA from 1 species